GAUGAACGCUAGCGGCAGGCCUAAUACAUGCAAGUCGAGCGGCAAGUCGAGGAGUAAUCUGAGACCUAGAGCGGCGUACGGGUGCGUAACGCGUAUGCAACCUACCUCAUACAGGGGGAUAGCCCGGAGAAAUCUGGAUUAAUACCCCACAGCACAGCACAAGGGCAUCUGCGAGCUGUUAAAGAUUCAUCGGUAUGAGAUGGGCAUGCGUCUGAUUAGCUAGUUGGCGGUGUAACGGACCACCAAGGCGACGAUCAGUAGGGGUUCUGAGGGGAAGGCCCCCCACAAGGGCACUGAGAUACGGGCCAGAACGCUGCGGGAGGCAGCAGUGGGGAAUAUUGGGCAAUGGACGAGAGUCUGACCCAGCCAUGCCGCGUGCAGGAAGGAGGCCUUCUGGGUUGUAAGCUGCUUUUAUCUGGGAAGAAAAGGCCCAUGCGUGGGACAUUGCCGGUACCAGAUGAAUAAGCACCGGCUAACCCCGUGCCAGCCGCCGCCGUAA
rnacentral:rRNA from 1 species